rnacentral:rRNA from 1 species
GACGAACGCUGGCGGCGUGCUUAACACAUGCAAGUCGAACGGAAAGGCCGUGCUUUUGUGGGGUGCUCGAGUGGCGAACGGGUGAGUAACACGUGAGUAACCUGCCCUUGACUUUGGGAUAACUUCAGGUAACUGGGGCUAAUACCGUAUAGGAGCUCCUGCUGCAUGGUGGGGGUUGGUAAGUUUCGGCGGUUGGGGAUGUACUCGCGGCUUAUCAGCUUGUUGGUGGGGUAGUGGCUUACCAAGGCUUUGACGGGUAGCCGGCCUGUGAGGGUGACCGGAGAGAAUGGGAAUGAGAGACGGAACAGAAUGAUACGGGAGGCAGCAGGGGGGAAUAGUGCACAAUGGGAGGAAGCCUGAUGAAGAAAAGCAGCGUGCGGGAUGAAGGCAUAGGGGUUGAAAAACGAAUUGGACGGAGAAGAAGAGUGAGUGACGGUAAUGGGUAAAGAAGCAACGGCUAACUACGUG